CGUCGACAGCAGGUGAUUCUGAAACUACAACGAAUGAAGGAAUUCCUCAACCGUAUGAACAGUCGCAAUCUUUUGAAGAAAUGUUACAGCAACAAAUACAGCAAGAAACAGAGUAUUUGAUGUCGGAAUCGGCUAAUCCGAUGUAUACAGGGUAUAGUCAGUCGAGGGAUAUGUCGGCAAUGGUGACGGCGUUAACACACGUGGUUUCGGGUCGGAGAGAGGCAGAGUGGGGUUACAGGCCGGAUAUUAGCGGUGUUACGACUUCGUUUGGUGGUGGUGGUUCAGGGAGUAUUUAUUCGGCAAAUUCACCGUCUUCUUCGAGUUCAGGAUCAUGGGCUGGACAGAAAAGAAGACGUGAUCAAGAAGAAAGUGUUACUGGAGAACAAGCUCAAAGGGGUUAUGGAGGUAUCGGAGAAUUUAAAAAUGGAGAAUCAUCUUCCUCUGUUAAGCUCGGUUCGUAUCAAUACUUUCCACUUAUUAAACUCUCCUCCGUUCUUUUUAGUUGGAAAUAUUAGGAAAUCACCGUAACUCACGCUAUUAUUUCACCCGAUAUAGCUCUAUCGGACGAGCUAAAUAUUUUGGGUUCAUUUCAAGAUUCUAUCCCUUUAUUUUAUUUUUCUUCUCAAUUUUCAAAUUGUUCUCUGUUUUGGACCGGAUAUAUGCUCUGUUUUCUUUAUCUUGUAUUGAUUGAUUUUGACUCUUUAAAACUUGAUUUUGAUUCCAUAUCAUCUUCUAAGGGUUGGUUCCAGAAGAAGAUACAAGCCUGGCAACACCACAAACGAGCAGCAUAUCGACAACUACUGCGGCGCAGACACCACCGCAAGCAUCGGAAGAAACAGGUGAAGAAACAGGGGAGAGGAAGAGGAGAUACAGAGGAGUAAGACAGAGACCAUGGGGUAAAUGGGCAGCAGAGAUAAGAGAUCCACAUAAAGCAGCAAGAGUUUGGUUAGGCACAUUCGAUACAGCAGAAGCAGCCGCUAAAGCUUAUGAUGACGCCGCUCUUAGAUUCAGAGGAAACAGAGCUAAACUCAAUUUCCCUGAAAAUGUUCGGUUAUUACCACAACAACAACAACAACCCACAACAAGAUUAGCCAUAUCAACCUCAUCAUCAACCGCAGCUCCGCGAUUCCAAUUAAUGUCUGCAGCAUCAACGCGAUCACCAUCACCAUCACCAUUUUUUUUUCAAUCAUAUAAUCAACCUCCGCGUCAAUCUGAUCAGCAGCAUCAGAAUCAGCAACAACAGUUAUUUCAG
rnacentral:misc_RNA from 1 species